AACGAACGCUGGCGGCAGGCUUAACACAUGCAAGUCGAGCGAGACCUUCGGGUCUAGCGGCGGACGGGUGAGUAACGCGUGGGAACGUGCCCUUCUCUACGGAAUAGCCCCGGGAAACUUGGAGUAAUACCGUAUACGCCCUUCGGGGGAAAGAUUUAUCGGGGCAGGAUCGGCCCGCGUUGGAUUAGGUAGUUGGUUGGGUAAUGGCCCACCAAGCCGACGAUCCAUAGCUGGUUGGAGAGGAUGAUCAGCCACACUGGGACUGAGACACGGCCCAGACUGCUACGGGAAGCAGCAGUGGGGAAUCUUAGACAAUGGGGGCAAGCCUGACGUAGCCAUGCCGCGUGAGUGAUGAAGGCCUUAGGGUUGUAAAGCUCUUUCAGCUGGGAAGAUAAUGACGGUACCAGCAGAAGAAGCCCCGGCUAACUCCGUG
rnacentral:rRNA from 1 species